rnacentral:rRNA from 1 species
UGGGGGAUAUUGCACAAUGGGCGAAAGCCUGAUGCAGCGACGCCGCGUGGGGGAUGAAGGCUUUCGGGUUGUAAACCUCUUUCGCUAUCGAACAAGGCCCGCUUAGGGUGGGUUGAGUGUAGGUGGAGAAGAAGCGCCGGCUAACUACGUGCCAGCAGCCGCGGUAAUACGUAGGGCGCGAGCGUUGUCCGGAAUUAUUGGGCGUAAAGGGCUUGUAGGCGGCUUGUUGCGCCUGCUGUGAAAACGCGGGGCUUAACUUCGCGCGUGCAGUGGGUACGGGCAGGCUUGAGUGUGGUAGGGGUGACUGGAAUUCCAGGUGUAGCGGUGGAAUGCGCAGAUAUCUGGAGGAACACCGAUGGCGAAGGCAGGUCACUGGGCCAUUACUGACGCUGAGGAGCGAAAGCAUGGGUAGCGAACAGG